rnacentral:rRNA from 1 species
AUGCAAGUCGAGCGGCAGCGGGAAGAUAGCUUGCUAUCUUUGCCGGCGAGCGGCGGACGGGUGAGUAAUGCCUAGGGAUCUGCCCAGUCGAGGGGGAUAACAGUUGGAAACGACUGCUAAUACCGCAUACGCCCUACGGGGGAAAGGAGGGGACCUUCGGGCCUUCCGCGAUUGGAUGAACCUAGGUGGGAUUAGCUAGUUGGUGAGGUAAUGGCUCACCAAGGCGACGAUCCCUAGCUGUUCUGAGAGGAUGAUCAGCCACACUGGGACUGAGACACGGCCCAGACUCCUACGGGAGGCAGCAGUGGGGAAUAUUGCACAAUGGGGGAAACCCUGAUGCAGCCAUGCCGCGUGUGUGAAGAAGGCCUUCGGGUUGUAAAGCACUUUCAGUAGGGAGGAAAGGUAGCAGCUUAAUACGCUGUUGCUGUGACGUUACCUACAGAAGAAGGACCGGCUAACUCCGUGCCAGCAGCCGCGGUAAUACGGAGGGUCCGAGCGUUAAUCGGAAUUACUGGGCGUAAAGCGUGCGCAGGCGGUUUGUUAAGCGAGAUGUGAAAGCCCCGGGCUCAACCUGGGAAUUGCAUUUCGAACUGGCGAACUAGAGUCUUGUAGAGGGGGGUAGAAUUCCAGGUGUAGCGGUGAAAUGCGUAGAGAUCUGGAGGAAUACCGGUGGCGAAGGCGGCCCCCUGGACAAAGACUGACGCUCAGGCAC